ensembl:snRNA U2 U2 spliceosomal RNA
AUCGCUUCUCAGGCUUUUGACUAAUACCAAGCCUUUUGACCAAUAUCAGUAUCUGUUUUUAUCAGCUUAAUAUCAGAUAAGUCCUCUAUCUGAGGACAAUAUAUUAAUAGUUUUUUGGAGCUAGAAGAUGCAUUAGGAGCUUGGUCUGUCCACUGCAGGCAUCCACCUGGUAUUGCAAUACCAGAAUCGAUGCACCCCUU